AUGGGAACGCGAAGAACCUUACCUACUCUUGACAUCCAGAGAACUUUCCAGAGGUGGAUUGGUGCCUUCGGGAACUCUGAGACAGGUGCUGCAUGGCUGUCGUCAGCUCGUGUUGUGAAAUGUUGGGUUAAGUCCCGCAACGAGCGCAACCCUUAUACUUUGUUGCCAGCGGGUUAGGCCGGGAACUCAAAGGAGACUGCCAGUGAUAAACUGGGAGGAAGGUGGGGAUGACGUCAAGUCAUCAUGGCCCUUACGAGUAGGGCUACACACGUGCUACAAUGGCGCAUACAAAGAGAAGCGACCUCGCGAGAGCAAGCGGACCUCAUAAAGUGCGUCGUAGUCCGGAUUGGAGUCUGCAACUCGACUCCAUGAAGUCGGAAUCGCUAGUAAUCGUAGAUCAGAAUGCUACGGUG
rnacentral:rRNA from 1 species